rnacentral:lncRNA from 1 species
CAAGUUUCUUACAAUAACAACAACAACAACAUACAAUAUAAUCUCAUAAGUAAUGUCUAGGGAAAAUAGUACGUAAAUAAACUUUAUCCGUAUAAAGUUUCUUAUGAUAAAAAAUUUGAUAAAGCGUCCUAUUUGGUCACAUAUACCCUUUUUUUUCUGUAAAAGUUUAACUGGUACCAUAUUAGGUAAAUCUAGAUAUUGCUUUCUUCUCACUUGCUUCUUCGCUACUGCUGUUGCUUCUUCUCUGCCUGCUGCUCCUUCUAAGGUUCUUCGUUGCUGCUUCUUCUAUCCUCCUCCUCCUCCUCCUUAAACCUGAGAUUUAAACUUUGAGUUGGUACUUAUAAACUGCAGUGAAGAAAUUCAAAGCCACCUCCUCCUCCUCCUUAAAACUGAGAUUUAUACUUUGAGUUGGUACUUAUAAACUGCAGUGGAGAAAUUCAAAGCCACCAUUAUUGAACCUAGAGAAAGUUUGAUCGAUGGUGACCUCGCUGAAAUCAACAAAAUAAAAAAUUUGAGAGAUAGAAGAACUUCAGAUUCGAUUCUAAAGUUGUACUGAAGAGAUAGAAGAACUUCAUAUCUCGAUAAUGAAGUUCUAUUAAAGAGAUAGAAUUUCAGAUUCGAAGUUGCAUUCUAGAAGAAUUUCAAAUCUGGUUUCGAAACCCAAAAUUUGUAGUUUCAGAUGUGAAUACAAAGUGUUAAAUGCGAAAUUUAAAGUGCGCUACAAAGUGGAAUUUUUUUAUAAAUUUUUGUAUAAUACGGAUGUAUCUACACUUUCCCCUUUCUUAUGAGUUAAACGUAUAUCUUUGUAGAAGAAUUAACCUAAAUAACGGUAUAUGUAUAAGUCAUAUAUAAUAUGUGUAUAAUCAAUAUGUAAUCUAUGUAUACUGGUAAAAAGCUAAACAAUGAAGUCCAACCGGCUAUUUGCGAAAGAAGUCACAUAUUCAACCCAAAUUAGUCCAACUUUUAAAUGGGCUAACUUAGAUUGUUCCCAGAUUGACGCACCAUGAAAAUAUGCC